AGAGUUUGAUCCUGGCUCAGAUUGAACGCUGGCGGCAUGCCUAACACAUGCAAGUCGAACGGUAGCAGGCCUUCGGGUGCUGACGAGUGGCGGACGGGUGAGUAAUGCGUAGGAAUCUGUCUUUUAGUGGGGGACGAACCCACGGGAAACUUAGGGCGUAAUUACCGCAUGAGCCCCUUGAGGGGGAAAGGACGGGGGAGUCUUCGGACCUCGCGCUAAGAGAAGAGCCUACGUCUGAUUAGCUAGUUGGUAGGGUAAGGGGCCUACCAAGGCGACGAUCAGUAGCUGGUCUGAGAGGACGACCAGCCACACUGGGACUGAGACACGGCCCAGACUCCUACGGGAGGCGAC
rnacentral:rRNA from 1 species